rnacentral:rRNA from 1 species
GAUGAACGCUGGCGGCGUGCUUAACACAUGCAAGUCGAACGGACGGCGAAGAGCUUGCUCUUCAAAGUUAGUGGCGGACGGGUGAGUAACGCGUGGGUAACCUGCCCUAUGCAGGGGGAUAACGUUUGGAAACGAACGCUAAUACCGCAUAACCUAGUUGGUUCGCAUGAACUGGCUAGCAAAGAUUUUAUCGGCAUAGGAUGGACCCGCGUUGGAUUAGCUAGUUGGUGAGACAAAAGCUCACCAAGGCGACGAUCCAUAGCCGGCCUGAGAGGAUGAACGGCACCAGUGGGACUGAGACACGGCCCAGACUCCUACGGGAGGCAGCAGUGGGGAAUAUUGCACGAUGGGCGCAAGCCUGAUGCAGCGACGCCGCGUGAUGGAUGAAGGUUUUCGGAUCGUAAACUUCUAUCAGCAGGGAGGAACCAAAUGACGGUACCUGACUAAGAAGCCCCGGCUAACUACGUGCCAGCAGCCGCAGUAAAAC